UACGUAGGGGGCAAGCGUUGUCCGGAUUUAUUGGGCGUAAAGAGCGUGUAGGCGGCCAGACAGGUCCGUUGUGAAAACUCGAGGCUCAACCUCGAGAUGUCGAUGGAAACCGUCUGGCUAGAGUCCGGAAGAGGAGUGUGGAAUUCCUGGUGUAGCGGUGAAAUGCGCAGAUAUUGGGAGGAACACCAGUGGCGAAGGCGGCACUCUGGGCCAGUACUGACACUGAGGAGCGAAAGCGUGGGUAGCGAACAGG
rnacentral:rRNA from 1 species